rnacentral:rRNA from 1 species
CGAACGCUGGCGGCGUGCUUAACACAUGCAAGUCGAACGGAAAGGCCCUGCUUUUGUGGGGUGCUCGAGUGGCGAACGGGUGAGUAACACGUGAGUAACCUGCCCUUGACUUUGGGAUAACUUCAGGAAACUGGGGCUAAUACCGGAUAGGAGCUCCUGCGGCAUGGUGGGGGUUGGAAAGUUUCGGCGGUUGGGGAUGGACUCGCGGCUUAUCAGCUUGUUGGUGGGGUAGUGGCUUACCAAGGCUUUGACGGGUAGCCGGCCUGAGAGGGUGACCGGCCACAUUGGGACUGAGAUACGGCCCAGACUCCUACGGGAGGCAGCAGUGGGGAAUAUUGCACAAUGGGCGGAAGCCUGAUGCAGCAACGCCGCGUGCGGGAUGACGGCCUUCGGGUUGUAAACCGCUUUCGCCUGUGACGAAGCGUGAGUGACGGUAAUGGGUAAAGAAGCACCGGCUAACUACGUG